CUGGGGACUUCUGGUUCUGGGAAAAUAUGGAGUAAACACACAUCUCCCUAUUCCCUCUGUUAAGUACAGUUUAAAAAAAACAAAAAACCCUUGGACUUAACAUAUAAAACAAACAUAAGGAGACUUUGAAAGGUGUAAAGAAGGCAGACGGGCUAAGGUACCUUGGGCCCCACAGAAUGACAUGGUGGUGAUUCCCAGGGUUUUCUCUUUGCAUUAUGUAUUUCAGAGUGAGUAUUGGAGAAGCCAGCAACCCAGAAACUAAUUGGUACUGACAAAAAAAAAAAAAAAAAGGAAGAAAGAAAGAAA